GCUCCCUUCGUCUAGCGGUCUAGGACACCGCCCUCUCACGGCGUAAACAGGGGUUCGAGUCCCCUAGGGAGCGCCA
rnacentral:tRNA from 2 species